rnacentral:rRNA from 1 species
AACGAACGCUGGCGGCAUGCCUAACACAUGCAAGUCGAACGAGACCUUCGGGUCUAGUGGCGCACGGGUGCGUAACGCGUGGGAACCUGCCCUUAGGUUCGGAAUAACUCCCCGAAAGGGGUGCUAAUACCGGAUAAUGUCUUCGGACCAAAGAUUUAUCGCCUUUGGAUGGGCCCGCGUUGGAUUAGCUAGUUGGUAGGGUAAAAGCCUACCAAGGCGACGAUCCAUAGCUGGUCUGAGAGGAUGAUCAGCCACACUGGGACUGAGACACGGCCCAGACUCCUACGGGAGGCAGCAGUGGGGAAUAUUGCACAAUGGGCGAAAGCCUGAUCCAGCAAUGCCGCGUGAGUGAUGAAGGCCGUAGGGUUGUAAAGCUCUUUUACCCGGGAUGAUAAUGACAGUACCGGGAGAAUAAGCUCCGGCUAACUCCGUG